rnacentral:rRNA from 1 species
UAUUGCACAAUGGGCGAAAGCCUGAUGCAGCAACGCCGCGUGAGGGAUGACGGCCUUCGGGUUGUAAACCUCUUUUAGUAGGGAAGAAGCGUAAGUGACGGUACCUGCAGAAAAAGCACCGGCUAACUACGUGCCAGCAGCCGCGGUAAUACGUAGGGUGCAAGCGUUGUCCGGAAUUAUUGGGCGUAAAGAGCUCGUAGGCGGCUUGUCGCGUCUGCUGUGAAAUCCCGGAGCUCAACUCCGGGCCUGCAGUGGGUACGGGCAAGCUAGAGUGCGGUAGGGGAGAUUGGAAUUCCUGGUGUAGCGGUGGAAUGCGCAGAUAUCAGGAGGAACACCGAUGGCGAAGGCAGAUCUCUGGGCCGCUACUGACACUGAGGCUCGAAAGCGUGGGGAGCAAACAG